AUACGGAGGGUCCAAGCGUUAUCCGGAAUCAUUGGGUUUAAAGGGUCCGUAGGCGGACAAUUAAGUCAGAGGUGAAAGCCCACAGCUCAACUGUGGAACUGCCUUUGAUACUGGUUGUCUUGAAUUAUAGUGAAGUAGGUAGAAUAUGUAGUGUAGCGGUGAAAUGCAUAGAUAUUACAUAGAAUACCGAUUGCGAAGGCAGUCUACUAACUAUAUAUUGACGCUGAUGGACGAAAGCGUGGGGAGCGAACAGGAUUAGAAACCCUAGUAGUCC
rnacentral:rRNA from 1 species